UUCAGAGGCUGGUCACACCCUGUGCAGGAGUCAGUGCCAGUGAGGACACAGCAUGGACAUGAGGGCCCCCGCUCAGCUCCUGGGGCUGCUGCUGCUCUGGCUCCAAGGUGCCAGAUGUGACAUCCAGAUGACCCAGUCUCCAUCCUUGCAUUCUGCAUCCAUAGGAGACACUGUCACCAUCACUUGUCGGGCGAGUCAGGACAUAAACAAAUACUUAGCUUGGUAUCAGCAGAAACCAGGGAAAGCUCCUAAACGUCUGAUCUAUUAUGCAUCUAAUUUGGGAUCUGGGGUCCCAGCAAGGUUCAGUGGCAGUGGAUCUGGGACAGAUUACACUCUCACCAUCAACAGUGUGAAGGCUGAAGAUGUUGGAACUUAUUACUGUCAGCAGGGUAAUAGUUUACCUCCCACAGUGAUACAAGCCAUGACAUAA